GCGCCUGUCGGGAAUCGAACCCGAAUCAACUGCUUGGAAGGCAACUAUGCUGACCAUUACACCACAGGCGCU
rnacentral:tRNA from 1 species